rnacentral:rRNA from 1 species
UUGAUCCUGGCUCAGGACGAACGCUGGCGGCGUGCCUAAUACAUGCAAGUCGAACGCACUCUUGUUUAGAUUGAAGGAGCUUGCUCCUGAUUGAUAAACAUCUGAGUGAGUGGCGGACGGGUGAGUAACACGUGGGUAACCUGCCCUAAAGUGGGGGAUAACAUUUGGAAACAGGUGCUAAUACCGCAUAAAACCUAACACCGCAUGGUGUAGGGUUGAAAGAUGGUUUCGGCUAUCACUUUAGGAUGGACCCGCGGUGCAUUAGUUAGUUGGUGAGGUAAAGGCUCACCAAGACCGUGAUGCAUAGCCGACCUGAGAGGGUAAUCGGCCACACUGGGACUGAGACACGGCCCAGACUCCUACGGGAGGCAGCAGUAGGGAAUCUUCCACAAUGGACGAAAGUCUGAUGGAGCAACGCCGCGUGAGUGAAGAAGGUUUUCGGAUCGUAAAACUCUGUUGUUGGAGAAGAAUGUAUCUGAUAGUAACUGAUCAGGUAGUGACGGUAUCCAACCAGAAAGCCACGGCUAACUACGUGCCAGCAGCCGCGGUAAUACGUAGGUGGCAAGCGUUGUCCGGAUUCAUUGGGCGUAAAGCGAGCGCAGGCGGUUUCUUAAGUCUGAUGUGAAAGCCUUCGGCUCAACCGAAGAAGUGCAUCGGAAACUGGGAAACUUGAGUGCAGAAGAGGACAGUGGAACUCCAUGUGUAGCGGUGAAAUGCGUAGAUAUAUGGAAGAACACCAGUGGCGAAGGCGGCUGUCUGGUCUGUAACUGACGCUGAGGCUCGAAAGCAUGGGUAGCAAACAGAAUUAGAUACCCUGGUAGUCCAUGCCGUAAACGA